GAGAUCGUAACGCACAGAGACUGCCGGAUGCAUACGAAAGCCUACCAGCAGGGAGUGACUGUGCCAUUUUUCUCUUAACGUCUCAGGUAUUGAAGAAGCGGCAACAGCCACAGAAAGUAGCCAUCUUAUCCAGCACGUUAUGGGUAGAACUUGGCGGCUCCUGCUCCUGCCUUCCACCACCACCCUGUCCCGACUGCUUCCACUAGAGAGUUGGCAACCUUAGUGAUGAUGCCAAGC